GGAAGGACCAUGGCUCAGUCGUAGAGCAUCUGCUUUGCAUGCAGACGGUCCCAGGUUUAAUCCCUGGCAUUUCCA